CUUCGGAAUCGGCCCCCAUCUAAGUGCCCUGGAACGGGCCGUCAUAGAGGGUGAGAAUCCCGUCUGGGAUGGGGUGUCCGUGCCCGUGUGAAGCUCCUUCGACGAGUCGAGUUGUUUGGGAAUGCAGCUCUAAUUGGGUGGUAAAUUUCAUCUAAAGCUAAAUAUUGGCCGGAGACCGAUAGCGCACAAGUAGAGUGAUCGAAAGAUGAAAAGCACUUUGAAAAGAGAGUUAAAAAGCACGUGAAAUUGUUGAAAGGGAAGCGCUUGCGACCAGACUCGCCCGCGGGGUUCAGCCGGCAUUCGUGCCGGUGUACUUCCCCGCGGGCGGGCCAGCGUCGGUUUGGGCGGCCGGUCAAAGGCCCCUGGAAUGUAACGCCUCUCGGGGCGUCUUAUAGCCAGGGGUGCCAUGCGGCCUGCCCGGACCGAGGAACGCGCUUCGGCUCGGACGCUGGCAUAAUGGUCGUAAGCGACCCGUCUUGAAACACGGACCAAGGAGUCUAACAUCUACGCGAGUGUUCGGGUGUCAAACCCGUGCGCGCAGUGAAAGCGAACGGAGGUGGGAACCCCCCGGGGUGCACCAUCGACCGAUCCUGAUGUCUUCGGAUGGAUUUGAGUAAGAGCGUAGCUGUUGGGACCCGAAAGAUGGUGAACUAUGCCUGAAUAGGGCGAAGCCAGAGGAAACUCUGGUGGAGGCUCGCAGCGGUUCUGACGUGCAAAUCGAUCGUCAAAUUUGGGUA
rnacentral:rRNA from 1 species